CCUACGGGAGGCAGCAGUGAGGAAUAUUGGUCAAUGGCCGCGAGCCUGAACCAGCCAAGUAGCGUGAAGGAUGACUGCCCUACGGGUUGUAAACUUCUUUUAUCAAGGGAUAAAGUCAGGCACGUGUGCCUUUUUGUGUGUACUUUAUGAAUAAGGAUCGGCUAACUCCGUGCCAGCAGCCGCGGUAAUACGGAGGAUCCGAGCGUUAUCCGGAUUUAUUGGGUUUAAAGGGAGCGUAGAUGGGUUGUUAAGUCAGUUGUGAAAGGUUGCGGCUCAACCGUAAAAGUGCAAUUGAUACUGGCAGUCUUGAGUACAGGUGAGGUAGGCGGAAUGCGUGGUGUAGCGGUGAAAUGCUUAGAUAUCACGAAGAACCCCGAUUGCGAAGGCAGCUUACUAAACUGGGACUGACAUUGAUGCUCGAAAGUGUGGGUAUCAAACAGGAUUAGAUACCCCUGUAGUC
rnacentral:rRNA from 1 species